GGUUACCUGGCUUCUCCUGGUUCCUUUUAUCUAUCAAGAUACUGUUAAGUAAAAUAACUGCCUGUUUCUUUUUUGCAGCUGCCCAAAUAUAUUUCAAGACAUAAAAGUAUAAAAGUGAGGAAACAUAAGAAAGAAGUUAUAGGACCUCCAAAAAGUCUCAAAGAAUUCAUAUUAGCCAGAACGAAAGGAAAGUCUAAGAGGACAGAUGGGAAUUCAUGAGAAUCAAAUUAGAAAGCCUAAAGUGCACUCACAGUUCCUACCAUAUGAAAGACUAAAAUGAAAAGGAAGGACAUACUGUUGAAGAUGGAGACUAAAAUGAAAAGGAAGAACAUACUAAGUACUGUUGAAGAUGCAGAACCAGAACUCUCAUAGUCGGCUAAUGGGAAUAAACACUGAAUAACCCUUUGUGAAGAAGAUGGUUUGGUAACAUCUACUAAAGCCUAACAUACACUGG
rnacentral:lncRNA from 1 species